rnacentral:rRNA from 1 species
UACAGGGGGUGCAAACGUUGCUCGGAAUUAUUGGGCGUAAAGCGCGCGUAGGCGGCCGCUUAAGUCGGAUGUGAAAGCCCCUGGCUCAACUGGGGAAGUGCACCCGAAACUGAGUGGCUUGAGUACUAAAGAGGGUCGCGGAAUUCCCGGUGUAGAGGUGAAAUGCGCAGAUAUCGGGAAGAACACCCGUGGCGAAGGCGGUUCUCUGGGACGGUACUGACGCUGAGACGCGAAAGCGUGGGGAGCGAACAGG